rnacentral:rRNA from 1 species
CAAAUUUGUAAAUCUGGCGCAAGCCCGAGUUGUAAUUUGUAGAGGAUGCUUCUGGGUAGCGGCCGGUCUAAGUUCCUUGGAACAGGACGUCAUAGAGGGUGAGAAUCCCGUAUGUGACUGGCUUGCACCCUCCACGUAGCUCCUUCGACGAGUCGAGUUGUUUGGGAAUGCAGCUCUAAAUGGGAGGUAAAUUUCUUCUAAAGCUAAAUACCGGCCAGAGACCGAUAGCGCACAAGUAGAGUGAUCGAAAGAUGAAAAGCACUUUGGAAAGAGAGUUAAAAAGCACGUGAAAUUGUUGAAAGGGAAGCGCCCGCAACCAGACUUUGCGGCGGUGUUCCGCCGGUCUUCUGACCGGUUUAUUCGCCGCCGUGAGGCCAUCAUCGUCUGGGACCGCUGGAUAAGACCUUAGGAAUGUAGCUUCCCUCGGGAAGUGUUAUAGCCUCUGGUGAUGCAGCGCGUCUCGGGCGAGGUCCGCGCUUCGGCAAGGAUGAUGGCGUAAUGGUUGUCGGCGGCCCGUCUUGAAACACGGACCAAGGAGUCUAACAUCUAUGCGAGUGUUCGGGUGUCAAACCCCUACGCGUAAUGAAAGUGAACGGAGGUGGGAACUUUUUGUGCACCAUCGACCGAUCCUGAUGUCCUCGGAUGGAUUUGAGUAAGAGCAUAGCUGUUGGGACCCGAAAGAUGGUGAACUAUGCCUGAAUAGGGUGAAGCCAGAGGAAACUCUGGUGGAGGCUCGCAGCGGUUCUGACGUGCAAAUCGAUCGUCAAAUUUGGGUAUAGGGGCGAAAGACUAAUCGAACCAUUGAUUUACGGCCGAUUUCGGCUGUGAUGAUCCCCUAACUUAAGAGGUUAGCGGAAAGUCAACUAGGUGGUUAAGAG